GCUUAACUGGAUAGCUCAAUUGGUAGAGCAUGAAAAUCUUAAUCUCAGGGUUGUGGGUUUGAGCUCCAUGUUUGGCA